AUUGAACGCUGGCGGCAUGCUUUACACAUGCAAGUCGAGCGGCAGCGCGGGGGCAACCCUGGCGGCGAGCGGCGAACGGGUGAGUAAUAGAUAGGAACGUGUCCGGGAGUGGGGGAUAACUAGCCGAAAGGUUAGCUAAUACCGCAUAUUCUCUACGGAGGAAAGCGGGGGAUCCGAAAGGACCUCGCGCUCGCGGAGUGGCCUAUCUCCGAUUAGCUAGUUGGUGAGGUAAAGGCUUACCAAGGCGACGAUCGGUAGCUGGUCUGAGAGGAUGAUCAGCCACACUGGGACUGAGACACGGCCCAGACUCCUACGGGAGGCAGCAGUGGGGAAUUUUGGACAAUGGGGGCAACCCUGAUCCAGCCAUGCCGCGUGCGGGAAGAAGGCCUUCGGGUUGUAAACCGCUUUUAUUCGGAAAGAAGGAGUUCGGGCUAAUACCCUGGAUGACAGACGGUACCGGAUGAAUAAGCACCGGCUAACUACGUG
rnacentral:rRNA from 1 species